CCCCUCUCAGGGUGACACCUGGAGAGUUUCCAGUACUCUACCUGUCUUGGCUACGGGAGGGAGAGUCAAGCAGAAGUCUACCCAUUCCAUUCCUAGCUUGGCCAGUGUUUAGUAAGUGCAAGGCAAUCUGCUACAAGU